rnacentral:rRNA from 1 species
UGGGGAAUAUUGCACAAUGGAGGAAACUCUGAUGCAGCGACGCCGCGUGAGCGAUGAAGGCUUUCGAGUCGUAAAGCUCUGUCCUAUGGGAAGAUAAUGACGGUACCAUAGGAGGAAGCCCCGGCUAACUACGUGCCAGCAGCCGCGGUAAUACGUAGGGGGCGAGCGUUGUCCGGAAUCACUGGGCGUAAAGGGUUCGCAGGCGGUCUACCAAGUCCGAUGUGAAAGGCAUGGGCUCAACCCAUGUAAGCAUUGGAAACUGGUAGACUUGAGUUAAGGAGAGGUAAGUGGAAUUCCUAGUGUAGCGGUGAAAUGCGUAGAUAUUAGGAAGAAUACCGGUGGCGAAGGCGACUUACUGGACUUAAACUGACGCUGAGGAACGAAAGCGUGGGGAGCAAACAGG